rnacentral:rRNA from 1 species
GAUGAACGCUGGCGGCGUGCCUAAUACAUGCAAGUCGAGCGAACAGACGAGGAGCUUGCUCCUCUGACGUUAGCGGCGGACGGGUGAGUAACACGUGGAUAACCUACCUAUAAGACUGGGAUAACUUCGGGAAACCGGAGCUAAUGCCGGAUAAUAUAUUGAACCGCAUGGUUCAAUAGUGAAAGACGGUUUUGCUUUCACUUAUAGAUGGAUCCGCGCCGCAUUAGCUAGUUGGUAAGGUAACGGCUUACCAAGGCAACGAUGCGUAGCCGACCUGAGAGGGUGAUCGGCCACACUGGAACUGAGACACGGUCCAGACUCCUACGGGAGGCAGCAGUAGGGAAUCUUCCGCAAUGGGCGAAAGCCUGACGGAGCAACGCCGCGUGAGUGAUGAAGGUCUUCGGAUCGUAAAACUCUGUUAUUAGGGAAGAACAAAUGUGUAAGUAACUAUGCACGUCUUGACGGUACCUAAUCAGAAAGCCACGGCUAACUACGUG